ensembl:lncRNA
GACAAGGGCUUAAGUAGCAAACACCAGACACGCAACGAGGAACAGCUGAGACACAUUAGAGGAGGGAGCAGCAAUCGACACAGGAGGGAAACGCACCAAAACACGACAGACAAUGACAUGCAAGUCCAUUUUGCUUUCCCAAAGCGUCUGCUAAAUACCUGUCUUUAACCUUUAUUUUUGGAGCAUCGUGACACACCUCAACUAUUGCACAUUGAAAGCGAAAGGAACCAUGGUGGAGCCUGCUCUCUCUGGAGCUUGCAGGUAGAGACCGCAGGUUCGGAGUCACCAGUCCACCAGCCACAGAGAGUCGUGGAAGAGGAGAAGGCAGAGGACAGACCUGAGGAAGUGGCAGGGGACAGACCAGAGGACGUGGCAGAGGCGUGAUAAACCUCACUCAAGAGGACAUCGAUUGAGUUGAACAGCUCCAAAUACAGCGAACCGCACUUGAACAGGUUUUAAAACAUUUGCCAAUUUAAUGUUGGUAUAAAAAU